rnacentral:rRNA from 1 species
CCUACGGGAGGCUGCAGUGGGGAAUAUUGGACAAUGGGCGAAAGCCUGAUCCAGCCAUGCCGCGUGUGUGAAGAAGGCCUUCGGGUUGUAAAGCACUUUCAGUGGGGAAGAAAGCCUUGGGGCUAAUACCCUCGAGGAAGGACAUCACCCACAGAAGAAGCACCGGCUAACUCCGUGCCAGCAGCCGCGGUAAUACGGAGGUGCGAGCGUUAAUCGGAAUUACUGGGCGUAAAGCGCGCGUAGGCGGUCUGAUAAGCCGGUUGUGAAAGCCCCGGGCUCAACCUGGGAACGGCAUCCGGAACUGUCAGGCUAGAGUGCAGGAGAGGAAGGUAGAAUUCCCGGUGUAGCGGUGAAAUGCGUAGAGAUCGGGAGGAAUACCAGUGGCGAAGGCGGCCUUCUGGACUGACACUGACGCUGAGGUGCGAAAGCGUGGGUAGCAAACAGGAUUAGAUACCCGUGUAGUC